GUGCUCUCUUCAGUAGCAUAUGCACAAAAGUUGAAACUACCUAGAGGAUUAGCAUGGCCCCUGCACAAGGAUGACCUGCAUAUUCAUGAGUUAUACCAUAUUUUU